GUUAUCUCAUAAAAAUAGAAAGAAAAAGUAAUUCUUUUUUUGUUAACAUCCGCUUUUGUGUAGGGUUACUGUAACGGGACCCACAUCUCAACCCACAACCCAUGUGAUGCUUCUUCAUAAAUCCCUAUAAUCAAAGGACACGUGGCAAAGCAGCUCUGUCACUCUAUCACCAAAAAAUGAAAAUACCAUUUGCUUUCAUUAUCUACUUUUGGGUGAGCCAGUCCCAUUAGUUGGACUUUAGUCCAAAAGCAAGUCAUUUGCCAGCAUUUCAGUGUGACUUUUUCGCUUUCCACAAACGUGAAAAAAGGUCGUCAUUUACCUAGAGAUAAAGCAUCUUUGCCUCUUUGGCUCUUUCCCAGACUCGCAGGUCUCUAUGCACACGUGGCUUUACACCAUUGGAUAAGAAUCCCCAGUUGGCAGACGCUUGUUAUACUGUACAUUAACCAUU
rnacentral:misc_RNA from 1 species